AAGGAGGUUCCAGCAGUAUCAUUUUCUCCUCUGCCUCCCUGCCCUGGCCUGUGCUGCCCUGGGGAGGAGUUUUGGGAGCUUUGGCCAGCUCAGGAGGGCCCAAAGCGGAAGGGCACUGACUUCAACUGAAUUCUCCUAUCCGGUGGGUUCUCUCCAGAGGAUGCCUUACUGGGAGGACAGACACAAGCCUCAAGUCAUCCUCACUGGCCCCUAUGUCAAGGGGGCUCCCUGGCACGUGAACCUCUGUACUGCCUUGUCUUUCAGAGCACCCAUUCAGCCUGAGAGGACGUGUAUUCACCUAGAGAAGCAAAUGAUUCGAGGGCCCCUAUUUAAACACCACUGAACCUAUUCCUGUAGGUAUCAUAUAUGCUGAGAGUCCAAAGGCCUUGUAGAAAGUUCUUAAAGCGCCCUACUCCACAGGAUUGAGAUCCGACAGGGUGCCGCUAAAGGACAUUUUGCACUUCAGUCCAGAGCCUGGUGUGGGUGACAAAGCCCUGUAAGGCCAGGGCUGACUGAGGCUGCAUGACCGCUCCAGAACUGUCUAUAGGCCUCUCCUGCUCCCACGAGACCUCGAUGGAGGCAGGAAUCCCAAAUAUGGGAGCAAACACAAAAGAUCAGCACAUGUCCAAACCCACCCCCUCCACCAUCACCCAGUCAGGUCUGCAAGCCUACUCCAAGAAGGAACGGCAGGGCCUGCCCCGCCUCCAUCCCAUUAAAUGGGCUGGGUUAGAGUCCUCUCUAAUGACACAAUUAGUCACCCACUUGUCAAGCAAAGCGCCUGCUCAGAGGGGGUCUGGCGCACUUACACAGCAAACAGAAAUGCCUCUGAGCACUGCCGGGCUGCCUCCUCCUCCCCCGAAGGGCUUCUCUCCAGGGUAAACCAUUGUGUCCAGCACAGGACAGAGUGGGCAUGCAGACACGCUGACAACGCAGCCCGGCUCUCCUCCCUUCCAAGAAAAGGAGCUCAGGGGUCCAGAAUGCCUGCAGGGUGGAAGGGUGCCCUGAAGGAAAUGAAGGCCAUUGCUUUUGUUUCUCCAGAUCCUCCCUGGCCCUUGUUGCUGAACAGUGGAUUUUGAGAUAAAUACGUUGUAACCAAAAGCGAAUUUUUCUACCACUCCCCAGCCAACUCUUUAGUUAUUUUUAAUAAACAGGAGGGUCAUGCCUGGUA